rnacentral:rRNA from 1 species
UAGGGAAUCUUCGGCAAUGGGGGGAACCCUGACCGAGCAACGCCGCGGGAGUGAAGAAGGUUUUCGGAUCGUAAAGCUCUGUUGUUAAGGAAGAACGAGUGUGAGAAUGGAAAGUUCAUACUGUGACGGUACUUAACCAGAAAGGAACGGCUAACUACGUGCCAGCAGCCGCGGUAAUACGUAGGUCCCGAGCGUUGUCCGGAUUUAUUGGGCGUAAAGCGAGCGCAGGCGGUUAGAUAAGUCUGAAGUUAAAGGCAGUGGCUCAACCAUUGUAGGCUUUAGAAACUGUUUAACUUGGGUGCAGAAGGGGAGAGUGGAAUUCCAUGUGUAGCGGUGAAAUGCGUAGAUAUAUGGAGGAACACCGGUGGCGAAAGCGGCUCUCUGGUCUGUAACUGACGCUGAGGCUCGAAAGCGUGGGGAGCGAACAGG